rnacentral:rRNA from 1 species
UACGGAGGGGGCUAGCGUUGUUCGGAAUUACUGGGCGUAAAGCGUACGUAGGCGGCUUUGUAAGUUAGAGGUGAAAGCCCGGGGCUCAACUCCGGAAUUGCCUUUAAGACUGCAUCGCUUGAAUCAUGGAGAGGUGAGUGGAAUUCCGAGUGUAGAGGUGAAAUUCGUAGAUAUUCGGAAGAACACCAGUGGCGAAGGCGACUCACUGGUCCAGCACUGACGCUGAGGUGCGAAAGCGUGGGGAGCAAACAGG